rnacentral:lncRNA from 10 species
AAUGGGGGUGGGGGUUGCCAUGGUGAUGCCCAGUCAACAGAAUGGAGAAAAGAGAAAUUUGGUUUGAAAUGAAAUUUGAGUCUUGAGAGAGGGCUGAUAUGAAGGAGAAUCAAACAAGCCACAUGGGAGCAUCUGAAGGCCUGGAGAUAAGGGCCUGUUGCAUGGCUGUGAAAAUUUGGCCUUUAAAAUAACUAGGCAUGGGCCAGAAAUCACAGCCGGCGGCUGCGACCACCCAAGGCAGGAGAUCCAGCGGGGGACUAUGGAGCUCAGUGGAGCUGCGGCCUGGGAGAAGCCCACCCAAGAGAACCAUGUAACUAGAAACCAUCACAUUCGGCUUCGUGUGAGGGAGAAGCAGCUCCCCAACACUGAGAUCUGACGUGCCCCCAGAUUCCCUGGGCUCAGAAAACAGGACACGCCGAGGACAUAGAAGCCUGGGUGAGCAGACCCCAAGGGAAGCCCCGGUGUUAGAGAGGAACCUCCCUCCGGAAAGACGCCGGGUUCCUCAGAGGGCCGUUUUCAUCACCAGGCGCAGAGCUUCCGCCACCAAGGAUGUUCCAGCAGAGACCACACAGCCGCGUGGCCUGGACUCGAAGCCAUCGAAGUUUUGAAUCUCUAAGUCCUUAUUUCUUGCCAGCCCAACUAUUAAUAAAUCAAAAGCUCCUUGGAGCGUUGGUUUUUAUUUUCUUCUCCCCUAGAACAGUG